rnacentral:rRNA from 1 species
AGAUUGAACGCUGGCGGCAUGCCUUACACAUGCAAGUCGAACGGCAGCACGGGAGCAAUCCUGGUGGCGAGUGGCGAACGGGUGAGUAAUACAUCGGAACGUGCCCAAUCGUGGGGGAUAACGCAGCGAAAGCUGUGCUAAUACCGCAUAAGAUCUACGGAUGAAAGCGAGGGGAUCGCAAGACCUUGCGACGAAUGGAGCGGCCGAUGGCAGAGUUAGGGUAGUUGGUGAAGGUAACGGCUCACCAAGUCCUUGACUCGUGUAGCUAGGUCUGGAAGGACGGACCGACCACGCCACGACGGUGGGAACCUGGA